rnacentral:lncRNA from 1 species
AAUUAUCAACUUUUUCACAAUCAACAACUUCCUUGACUACUUCCUCGACUAUUUCCUUAUUGACCAACAGAGACACCAAUUGACCUACUUGAUCUGACUCCCAAACAAACAAGUUCCUUCUCCAUUCCAACUUUCAACUCCAACUAACACCGAACCAUUCCCCAAUUUGAUUCAACAUAUUAUCUUUAUUUAAAGAUAGACCUUACAACCUUGGAAAUUCAUUCCUUAGCUCUACUCUCUCCAACCACUUAUCCUCCCAAAAUUUUACAUUUUUAUCUAUACCCAAAUCCCACGUGCCAUUGUCAUUCACAUCCAAAUCUUUCUCGAAGGUGUCACGCUCUUUGCAAAGAGGGGCAUCGAGGAUUGAUGGAGAGUGGUGUUCUGAGCCAUUCUCAUGCUUCCCUUCU